rnacentral:misc_RNA from 1 species
UGGUACUACAGAGGCGCAAAGGUUGUCGCUGACCUUUUCACGAGGUCGUGCACGCCUGAGUGCUCUCACACACAAUCCACCUCACCACUUGUGCACCACCAUGCGGAGGCCCCUUGCUCUUGGCUCGUUUCGAGAGGGGGGAGGCUUUCGUCUUUUUUACACACACACACAAUACAGUCUGGUAGUAUAGAAUGUCAUUCAUUUGCGAUAACACGCAAUCAAUA